CUACGGGUCGCAGCAGUGAGGAAUAUUGGUCAAUGGGCGCAAGCCUGAACCAGCCAUCCCGCGUGAAGGAUGACUGCCCUAUGGGUUGUAAACUUCUUUUAUGUACCAAGAAUGUGUCCUACGUGUAGGAUUUUGACGGUAGUACAUGAAUAAGCAUCGGCUAACUCCGUGCCAGCAGCCGCGGUAAUACGGAGGAUGCGAGCGUUAUCCGGAUUCAUUGGGUUUAAAGGGUGCGUAGGCGGCUUUAUAAGUCAGUGGUGAAAUCCUGCGGCUCAACCGUAGAACUGCCAUUGAUACUGUAGAGCUUGAAUACAGAUGAAGUAGGCGGAAUGAGUAGUGUAGCGGUGAUAUGCUUAGAUAUUACUCAGAACACCGAUUGCGAAGGCAGCUUACUAAACUGAUAUUGACGCUGAUGCACGAAAGCGUGGGGAGCGAACAGGAUUAGAUACCCCCGUAGUC
rnacentral:rRNA from 1 species